rnacentral:rRNA from 1 species
AGAGUUUGAUCAUGGCUCAGGAUGAACGCUGGCGGCGUGCCUAACACAUGCAAGUCGAACGGACUUACAUUGAAGCCUAGCGAUAUGUAAGUUAGUGGCGGACGGGUGAGUAACGCGUGGGUAACCUGCCUUGUACUGGGGGACAACAGUUGGAAACGACUGCUAAUACCGCAUAAGCGCACAGCUUCGCAUGAAGCAGUGUGAAAAACUCCGGUGGUACAAGAUGGACCCGNGUCUGAUUAGCUGGUUGGUGAGGUAACGGCCCACCAAGGCGACGAUCAGUAGCGGCCUGAGAGGGUGAACGGCACAUUGGGACUGAGACACGGCCCAAACUCCUACGGGAGGCA